rnacentral:rRNA from 1 species
GACGAACGCUGGCGGCGUGCCUAAUACAUGCAAGUCGAGCGAUGAAGAUUGGUGCUUGCACUAAUUUGAAGAGCAGCGAACGGGCGGGUAACGCGUGGGGAAUCUGCCUUUGAGUGGGGGACAAAAUUUGGAAACGAAUGCUAAUACCGCAUAAUAACUUUCAACAUAAGUUUUAAGUUUGAAAGAUGUAAUUGCAUCAUUCAAAGAUGAUCCCGCGUUGUAUUAGUUAGUUGGUGAGGUAAAGGCUCACCAAGGCGAGGAUACGUAGCCGACCUGAGAGGCUGAGCGGCCAGAUUGGGACUGAGACACGGCCCAAACUCCUACAGGAGGCAGCAGUAGUGAAUCGUCGGCAAGGGGCGAAAGUCUGACCGAGCAACGCCGCAUGAGUGAAGAAGGUUUUCGGAUCGUAAAACUCUGUUGGUGGAGAAGAACGUUGGUGAGAGUGGGAAGCACAUCAAGUGACGGUAACUACCCAGGAAGAGACGGCUAACUACGUG